rnacentral:rRNA from 1 species
UACGGGGGGGGCAAGCGUUGUUCGGAAUUACUGGGCGUAAAGGGCUCGUAGGUGGCCAACUAAGUCAGACGUGAAAUCCCUCGGCUUAACCGGGGAACUGCGUCUGAUACUGUCGGGCUAGAGUCCGGAAGAGGGUCGCGGAAUUCCCGGUGUAGAGGUGAAAUUCGUAGAUAUCUGGAGGAACACCGGUGGCGAAGGCGGCAUCCUGGACCGGCAUUGACGCUGAGGCGCGAAAGCUAGGGGAGCAAACGGG